rnacentral:rRNA from 1 species
GUGGGGAAUAUUGGGCAAUGGGCGAAAGCCUGACCCAGCAACGCCGCGUGAAGGAAGAAGGUUUUCGGAUUGUAAACUUCUGUCCUUAGGGAAGAAAGAAAUGACGGUACCUGAGGAGGAAGCCCCGGCUAACUACGUGCCAGCAGCCGCGGUAAUACGUAGGGGGCGAGCGUUGUCCGGAAUUACUGGGCGUAAAGGGUGCGUAGGCGGUUUAACAAGUCCAAUGUGAAAUACCCGGGCUUAACCUGGGGGGUGCAUUGGAAACUGUUAGACUUGAGUGCAGGAGAGGAAAGCGGAAUUCCUAGUGUAGCGGUGAAAUGCGUAGAUAUUAGGAGGAACACCAGUGGCGAAGGCGGCUUUCUGGACUGCAACUGACGCUGAGGCACGAAAGCGUGGGGAGCAAACAGGA